rnacentral:rRNA from 1 species
UACGGAGGAUGCAAGCGUUAUCCGAAAUGAUUGGGCGUAAAGCGUCCGCAGGUGGCAAUGUAAGUCUGCUGUUAAAGAGUCUAGCUCAACUAGAUAAGAGCAGUGGAAACUACAUAGCUAGAGUACGUUCGGGGCAGAGGGAAUUCCAGGUGUAGCGGUGAAAUGCGUAGAUAUCUGGAGGAAUACCGGUGGCGAAGGCGGCAUCCUGGACCGGCAUUGACGCUGAGGAGCGAAAGCCAGGGGAGCAAACGGG